ensembl:lncRNA
GUUUUUUUGUGUGUGUUUAGAGUCCCCAAACAUAUGUGCCUUAUUAAAGUGCUGCCCAUUUCAUAGGCUUUAUCUUGCACUGGAUGAUCUCUGGUGGUAGGGAUAUUCAAGCUGCUUUAUACAUUUAGUUGUCCCUGAGUGUCUUUUUGACAGUCUGUUCCAGAUUCUAAUGAUUUUACAUUAAGAUUCAGGGACUCGGUAAUCUCUCCCCUCCCAGUCCCCAACAACAAUAGAAAUAUCAACUCUUCAGCCCUAAAUCAAACACAAAUCUCUCUGAAAUCCUCACCUGGAGCCAUCUUUCAUAGGUCUCUUUUCCCUGUGACUGCUGCAAUCCAUGGGAUCUGCAGUAGUCUUCCUGCUGGAGAAAAUAAAAACAGAUGACAUGAAUCAGGACCUCUUCUUGACAGGAACGAGGUGGAGGGGCUGCUCUCGGACAGCAGGUACACCAUAAAUUGCUGGUUAAGCCUCGCCAACAUUUCUGCAGACGCAUUGGGCUGUGGGAGGUUUGGGCUGCUCCAUUCUUCCACAUUGGUUAUCGUCUUUCAUUUCUUUUACACCUGAUACCAUGUGGUUUACAGAAAUCUCUCUGGACCCAAUAAACCAUGGAAGUGAGCCUCCUUAUUCUGUUUUCUUUCUUCUCCUGCCCUUCUUCAUUCAUUUCCUGGCUCUAAAGCUAAGCAACCAAAUCCCCCAGGGUUCCCUGGUAAGCAAAGGGCAGCCAGAAAUGGCAGGAAAAAGGGUCCUGCCCGAGCGCAAAAGGAAAGGGAAGGAGAGAGAGGAGUCCCCAGACCUCUUCGAGGGGAACAGGUCUGCCUGUCUGCAGCACUCCCGGGCUCUAUUACACACAAGGCGAGUAAAAGACAGGGAAAACCAGAAUUUAUAUAGCCAGGGAUCUGCAUCCCUUCAGGAAACAGUUCAUGCGCUUCUUCUUGGGGCCAGCUAGCGGCACUGGGAGGUUUGUUGUUACCCAGCCUGCAGGCCCUGACAGGCUCUGUCAACGCUGGGCUCCUCUUCUCACUUCCCUUGUGCCAGUCCCCUGGGUGCACCUGCAGGAGGAGCACGGCUGAGUGGACAGAGCAGCUGCCCACAGCCCUGCACAGGCUGAUGAGCCCUGCUUUGCCUCACCGGCGCGGCGCUGAUGGAACACGUGCAGCAACAACCAGCUCCUAAGAAGGACAAAUCCCCAGGCCUGGUUACUAGGGAUCCCACUGAUCGUAUUCCCCUGCCCUUCCAGCUCACGUGCAGGUCCCAAACAAACGGCAGCACAUGCUGAUUCGGAGUGGCAGGCGUGCUGCUGGCCAGCUGGCUGCUGCUGCUUCUCCCAGGGGAUGGGAGGCUUUUUGUUCCAGUAGUGGGGGUGGCAAUUGGGGUUUCUUUUGCCUCCAUCUGGCCACAAGCCUUCGGGUAAUUUGGGGGAAUUUCCUAUCAGUGAAGUUACUCUCUCAUCAGCUGACAGUUUCAAAAGCAAUUCAAGGGAAGAUAGGAAUGACAUCGAGAUAAAAAUGCAAUCACAGAAAGGUUGGGGGAAGUCUUCUUUCCUUCACCCACAAAUUCCUUGAUGCUGGAAAACAUCCCCCUUCCCCAUACCCUCCAAUUUGCUACAGGUUCUAACAUGAACAGCUUCUGCUGGGAGUAGCCGACUGUGCCAAAAUACAAUAGCUGCUGCUCCUCCUCUGUCCUCUCCCCAGAUGAUCACACGGUUCAGCUAUUGACAUCGCCCAGAAAAUGGAAGUUGCUCAGUGUUUACUAACCGUUCUGCUCCUCUCUGCUCUGCGCAGCCCUCUGUGGGGCAGCCAGCUCUCUGCUGUUUACAAGCCCAUCUGCUUCUGUUGCUUUUCUUCACCUGAAGUUACAGCACUCCGUUCAGGAUAUUUCUCGCAGUUGUGGUGGGAACUGUAAAGAGCAGAGGAGGAUUUCAGGUGGUAAGGAAGCAGUACGAAAAGAAGAAUACAAAUCUGUUCUUGUCUAAAUAGACCUAAAAAUAAGGAAAACAAGAAUAAGAUGGCAGAGGAAAUUCCAAACAGCCAAGGGUGGCUUCGGCAGAACAGUCAUUCCAAGGAGAGUUUUCCUUCUAUUUUUAUGAGAACUUUAACAUUUAGAAUCAAACCAGAAAGGAAAAUAACAUGUGCUCCAGUGACUAUUUCCCUGAAAUUACACUGCAGUUCCCUGCAUUUUCAAGUCUCUAGAGGCAGAGCUACAGGACUUCUUUGCCUAAACCUGUACUGCUGCUGCGAGCUGUUUAGUUCAGAGUUCUCCAUGCAGUUUAACUCAAGGCCACGUUUCCAUGGGUAAGAGGGGACCUUGGGAGUCAGAAAGACAUUGGAAACCUGUCUUCCCACACUAUGAGAACCUGGAGGCAACCCUCAGAACCAGAGCUGCUGUCCCAGCAGCUUGAGCCUGCAAGCAUGACUGCAGGAGGGACCAGAGGGGGCUCUCCAGAGUUUCAGGCAUUUAAAAGCUCUCUGUAGCCCAGCUAGCCAGCCAAGCGUGCCAUGCUGCAAGCCUGGGCAGGCUGCUGCAGACAUCCACAGGCUGUGUGCGAGGCAGCUGCGUGGAUGGGAGGCAGACUGCUGGGGAGCAUGCUGUGCUCACAAAUGCUGGUGCAGAUUGAGGGAAUAGCUCUGAGAGCCAAGUUCCCGCGUGCCACAGCCUCUCUGUGCCUGUGCCUGGCUCAGGAUGGGGACAGGGACUGCACUGCGAUGUCUGGGCACUGCCUUGGCCACUGGUAAUCGGCAGAAGGUGGCGGUGACUUUGAUCCCAGUUCACAGUGUUGGUGCUUAGCUUGGAAGAGAAAACAGAAACAUUUUACAGAACAUACACACAUUGAAGUUCACAUUCCGUGUGGGCAAAGCCUGAGAAGGACGAGGAAAUGCUUGUGAGGUCUCAGAAGAACACGCUGUAGGUCCCUUCUGUGCAGUUGGAUCACCGAUCUCCACCAUCUCAGGGUCAGAAACGUGCCUGGCUUAGAGAGCAACGUGAUGUCCCAGUUGGCAGCUUCCUGGUUCUGCCUCACCAGCUCAGCACGGCGUGCACAGAUCACGUCCCAAGUCUUGAGGCUAUUGAGAAAAGACGCUGUGAGCUCCUGGGAAGGGAGGAGCCUGCCAAGGCAGUCCCUCUGAGCAGCUAGGUGCAACACGCCAGCAGAAAGCAGUGCCUGUUGCAACGCUGCAGCUCUCAGGGCCUGCGUCAGGACCUCUCCACACACAUGCUCUUCAUUAGCGCUAACCCGGGAGCAGAAACAAGAGCAAAACCUCCAAGAGGAUUAAGCACAUGGAUGGGAGCUCUGAUGCAAGGACGGAUCCAACCUGAACUUCCUCCAAAACACGCAGUCAGAUCUGGUUGCUCUGGUUUGGAUCUGAAUCUGGCAAGAUGGAAAGCAGCGCAAUGAGAUGCUGAAAGAGGGGAGCAGAAAGAAAGGAAAACAGUUCCCUCCCUCUCACCCCAAAAAUGCAGUGGGCCCAGAAGCGUGCACAAUAAACUCCUCUCCUUUCCCUCACUUCGGGUUACAUUGUUCGCUUUCCUGCAAAUUGUUUCCACAUUCUGUAUAAAUAACCCCAUUGCCAGCGAGGGGGAGGGAGGGAGCAGAGGGGCACGGGGAGAAGGGGUGGGAGGAAAUCAGAUGUCUUUGUUAGUUUUCAAAAAGAAGGUGGAGGAUGGCGAGCAGCAGUUGGGAGCCGGGGCCUUGGCAGGCCGAGCAGAGAGCUGCCAUGGAGCUGUGUUCAGACCUGGAGGAAGAAGAGUAAACACGGGAGAGAUUAUAUAUAAUUACAGACAAUCAUGUUGCUGGGGAUAAACAGGAAUCAAAAGCAGGGAGGCACUGAAGUCUGGCACGUCCCCAAGCCCAGAACAGAAGCCAGCCAGCGAGAGGCAACGCGGCUGGAAAGUGCUUCCCCUUGGGCCUGUUUUCAGUUAGCUCAGGGGCUGGGUUUUUUUUCCCCCCUCUUUCUGGCUUGAGGCGUUCCCCCAUAAAGAGACGCGCCUGCUCACUGGGGAACGGGAGCCAAAGUGAAGUCAGCAGAAUCCCUGUCUGCGACAUUAAUAGAUUACUCUGUGAGAAACAUCAGGAACGUUUGGAAAAGAAACAGCCCGCUGAGGUCAGCAAAACCACCAACAACAGGAAUUUUGGAACAAAAAUGGCUUCAGAAGCACUCCAGAAGCUGUGCCUGCAUGUCCGGCGGGCGCUCUCCUUGUAUGGGGAAGUGACCCUAGAGAAGGAUGUGUAGGGAGGGCUGCACCUGAUGCUCCCAGCUCCCCUGGCUCCAGGGUUUGUGACAAAGCAUCCAGGUCAGAACCGUGCUACCCCAGCAGCAUCAGCACCUUUGUAUUUGCACAGCCUGAGAGAGGGAAGGAAAAAGAUUCUGCACGUACUGGAGGUGCUCUGGAUGCAGUCAGAAGAGCAGGCGCUGAUGCUCCAAGCGUUGCAGCUGAGGUGGGUGAUGCUGAGCACUCAACAGCGUCCUGCAAAGGAGGAGGGGGAAGCGAAGAAACAAAGCUGAGAAGCAAACUGAAAGGCACAUGGCCCACACGGGUGUUUUGUUGUUUUUGUUGUGUUUUUUUUUUUUUUAAAAAAAAAAAAAGGACCUUGAGGGAUUUGAAAGAGGAAAGCAGACUCGCUCAGCCUUCUUUCCCUUGAAGGCUCACUGAAGACUCAGAGGGAAGGCGACAUUGUGCCAAACAAAGGACGGCAACCUCAGCCGCUGACAGGAGGAGGGUGGUUCGGCAGUGUGAAAAGCUCUCUCCCAGGCACUAUUUUAAAUCCAAAUAGCUUACAGCCUGCUGAAUUCUUAAGCCAUUUUCCUCAUCUCUCAGCUGUUCUUCAUUGAGAAUUCAGGCAUAUAUUUCAAAGCAGCAACGCGGAGAGAAAAAUAUAUAUGUAUCUAUAUACAGAUAUACACAAGAAAUAACCAAACCUGUGGUUAAAAUCAGCAUAAGAGCACAGGAAGCAGGGCAUGCACAAAGGCUCUUCUACCUUCCCUCACUCACUAAAGGUGCUCUGAACAUCCUUUCCUAAGGAAAGAAAACUGAUUUUUUUUUUCAGGGAAAUGGCAUUUGCUCUAUGAGAACAGUGUCACAGUGUGGUGAAUGACACCGUUAUCUGGCUACCUGGGUAUAAUAUUUGAUGUAUUUUCUGUGAAUUCAUCAUCGUGAGCAUUUUUCCACCAGGAUUUCUAAUACUGACAAAUCCUCCACCAGUGCUGGGUAUGUGUGGGACAUAUAUGCAUGUGCAGAAGUGCACAAUCUCUCCCUUGGCCAUCUCAAAAUGUAGUGGUGGCACAGACAGGGUCAGUUUAAGCACAAAGUAGGAGCCACAUUCAACUCAAAGCUGCUGGAAAUAGAUUAGAGGGGGCAGAGGGAAUGGAACUGGAAGGCAUUUGAGAUCCAAGCCUUUUCUGCUACAAAAUUACAUUGGCUCUGUGAGGCCAUAUUUAAGCAAUCUGCACCCACAGUUCCUUCCAAAUAUCAGAUGUGAGCAUACAGAACCAAGAAUAAAACCAAGGUAGCAGAGGGGUCCCAACAAUAAGCUGGUUGUGUCCGUACGCCAUGCUGGGCAGAAACAGCACCAGGAGUUUGGCAACACGAUGAGAGAAAGGAAAGGGAGCUCUGGUCCUGACUUCUGUCCAAGGAGAAACGGGGUUACCGAUGUCCUGCAGUCACAGGUGAACACCAACCACAAGUCCCUGACAAAGGCAGGCCCCCAAACAGCCACACUGUGUUAUCAGAAAGCAAGAAUUAAAAUUUUAUCAAGAUGGAAAGAGCAGAUCCUAAGAGAACGUGGAUUUCAGAAGCAAUCACCGCAUCGUUCCGCAGGCACCUCGGUGUGACUCGCAAGGCAGACAGAAAAUCAGAAGAGCUCCACCUAAAUAGAAACACACAGCGACUGCUUCCGGAAAGAGCCCUUGGUGGGGUAAAGCGUCUGUCCUUCCUUCUCUCUCCCUCUUUUCCUAAGGCAAAUUGGAAAAAGAAGAGUGUGAUGUUUGCAUCACAGCUUAUUUUUGCCUUGCAAAACCUAUUUGCAUGCGCUGGAGGAAAGGUUUCUUUUGGCUUGUCACAAAAUCCCGUGGCUGGUACGUUAGCUGGCAGUCUGCUUUGCAUGGGCUCAGGCAAAUCCAGCAAUCCAACCUCGGCCUUUGCUGUCAGCCCCUACACAUCCACUUUUGAAAUAAUUAUUUCCAUGGCUUAUGAAAUAACUCAUGUCACUGACAGAGUGAUGAGAGCAGCCCUCCAGGCCCGAGCUGCCAGGCGCAGGCACCUUUCAAUAUGCUGCCUGCAAGAAGUGCAAGGUUUUGUUCAAUGAAAAACCCACCCUAUUUUGAGCUUGUGAAGAGCUGUGGCUUGAAGACAUAAGCCUCUUUAUAUUUAAUAAUACACAUUACCGAUUUUUCCCACAGAAAACCUUCAGUGAACAGCCUUUUUUCGUUGAAAUCUUCUGUUGCAAAUAUUGGUUAUUCACUGGAAACAUAAAGCCCAAAAGAUGCGACCAAGCGAUUUUAUUAGAAGUUUCUAUUUCUGCAGCAAAGCGGACAUCUCCAAAAAGGCACAACCAAUUUGCUGUACACUGACUGUCAGCAGAAAAGCAACUCUGAUGCUAAGUUUUUAAUUAGCCCAUAUAAAUGUACAUGCAAAUGGGCAUUUCAAAGGGAAAAGUUAUCCCUCAAACAAAAACUCAUCAACGACAUAAGCUACGGGAAAACAGCAAGCAGGAAUGUUCUGAUCCUGACAUGUACAGCAGCAGAUAAAUAAGGCCAAGUUAUCUCCUCCUGCCCCACCAGGGCUCCCAAAUGUCCAGAAAAAAGCUAUUUGUGAUACAGCUGCAGUGCCCAAGCUGCACUGCUGCUGAAGUACCAGUGCCUGAGUUCACUGUUCACUUCCUUUCUCCAGAAGAUACGCUGGUUAAUCUGACUCACACACCUGUAUAAUGGAUGUGACACAGAGGUCUUAUCAUUUAAAGGAUGCAUUUGUACAUGGCAUCCUUUAAAAUAUCAGAUCAGGAAACCACCUGGAUGCUGCUGCUGCUGAACACCUGCAUGGCUUGUUCUGCAAAGGGGCAGGGAGGGAGGUGAGGCAGCCAGCAGGAGAAGGGGACUGAGGUGCACACAAGACAGAAGGAAGACAAAGGGAAAGAGGAAGAUGAAUUAAUGAUCCGACACCAGUGAGAAAACAAGUACAAAUGCGGUCCCCAGAGUUAACACUGUGGGUUGCACGAGGAGCAGGAUCAAUAGGCGCUGUGCGGAGGGAGCCCAGCGCGGGGUUACGGCAGCCACGGUGGAAGUCCCCAGAUUACAAUAAGGCAGCUUGAAGGUGACAGAUUUCAUUGUUGAAGGUGAUAAAAUUCCAUGUGGCGUGCUGCAAAACAAGGGCUGGAGCUCAGCCUGCAGAAAAGGAGGCGGCACCGAGACGGCACAUGUGGGGAUUCUCCCCCUCUUCUCUCCAUGGAAAUUAGGACAGAAGUGCCCAAGCUGUGUGCCACGUUUCCUCACUUUUGUGUCUCUGUUCCCAUAGUGGAAGCACGUGAGGCAAAGCAGACAAAAUGUGGGGCCAUCCUCCAUGGAGCCCUGCAGCAGGCAGCAUGCUGCAGGCAGUGUUGGCAUGAACUAGUUGGCCAUGGCACCUUCUGCUGCUUGUGCUUCACUGAAGUGGUCUCCCACAGUUCUGAUGAGGGCCACACUAUCAUGAACAAGGUGUCCCAAAAGCUUCAGGUUUUGUUUUUCCAAAUAAGGCCUGAAUGCCAUUACACAGAUAGAAGAUUCAUUUAGCAGAAGUCCAACCUUCACUCCCUUUUCCUCGUGCCACACUGUGCUGCAAAUGCUUUGCAGAAGGAUGCAUUGCAAAGGACGGGAAUUUUGAUCCAAGAGAGGUUGGUUUGGUCUGGAUGCACUACGACUGCUUGAAAUGCAGGGAAGACUCAGCAGCAGAGAUGUGCAAGGAACAGGAGAAUCAAAGCCUGAGACUAAACUAGCAAUUAGACCAGCCCCAGAAUACAUUCAAGCCGAAUCAAUCCAUAGAAGAAUUUCAGUCACGGUCUGCUCGUGCCCACACUGCCUUCCUCCCUCCCUUUCUCUCCCACAACCCAGGGCUGAGAUCCAGCACUGCUGUCUGCUUCAUCAGAAUAUGCAAGAAGUGCAGUGACAACGUGCCUCCAAAGAUGCUUAUCAGUUUUGCAAAGUCCCAGCUCAUCCUCCUCUUGUGGAUCUAUUUACAUAUUGAUGUAUUUAUUCGACUCUCUCCACCAGGCGUGCCCUGUGAGAUUAAACCAUUUUAUAUACAAAGACAUUGGGGUUGCAGCUCCUAACAAUUAAGUCAGCCAAGAUAGAACUUUGCGUGUGCUUUCAGAUUGAUGUGUGAACAGACAAAAGAGUCCUCGUCAGCGAUUCGGGAGCAGCUGGGGGGAGGACCAGUUAAACCCCAUCUAUAUAAACCCGUCAAUAGCUGCUGCCACUGGGAGAAAUGGAUCGGGGUGGCAGGAGGUGCAAACAGGCAGAAGAGAAAGGUGAUGGGCCAGCAGGAUGGAUAAAACAUGAAGAAAAAAUGUAGCCAGUAUGGCUCACCUGAAAAAGCAGGUUCUUGGAGGAGCUUUGAGGAAACACGUGGGCUCCUGGGGUUUGCUCCUGCUCUGCCUCAGCCAUCGAAGGAGAAAAAUUGUUCUUCUCAAUGGGAACAUCUGGGAGGGACAGGAAGGUGGGAGAAGAGAGAAAUGCCUUGUGAGAAAAAAGCCAGUGAGAGGUCCUUCAGGAGAAACCACCUGCAGCUGCCUUCAUGCUCCAGGCCUUUCUACAAGAGCUUGUCCCUGUGGCACAUCUCUUCUCUCUCCGUCAGCAGCUGUGUUUAUCAGCCACCUCUUCUCCACACCCUUUUGGACAGGAGGGUUCUGUCUGAAAGGUGCAGUCUGGGCCAGCGUUUGCAGCGUUAUCGUCCCCUCCCUGGGCAAUGCCACUGAGCACCAGCAUGUCCUGCAGUUGCAACAGCUUUCAGCAAAGCACAGAACUGCAGGGAUCAGCACCCACAGGUGUACAAACCUGCAGCAUGUGCUCCUGUUUGAAGGAUGUCCCUCAGAGCACUGCAGGCUCCUGGAACACAGCAGCUGAAGUCACCUGUGUAUCUAGAUGGGUAUAAAUGUGGCACUCUGCCUCCUGCUCCUGACAGCAAUCCCAUCGGCUGCCAGCAUUCCUCUUAGUAUCUCUGACGUUUCAGAAUUAUAUUUAGGGAAGUGCACAGGAAUUAAAUUUUGACGUUUGCUACAGAGCACUGUGAUAUAAAUAUUCUGCACCACCUGCCCGAGGGUCUAUUGGUACGUAGCAAGGCUGCAUUGUUGCUUUUAAUUAAACAGGCACAGGCAGCCCAAGGAAGGAGCACUAAACAGCAUCCUAACCAUCUCAGAAGUCCUCACUUGUCUCCUUAUUAAUUCUCACCCUGAUCUUUUGCACAGCACUAUCACCAGGCUAAUUAAUCACAAGUGCAAGCACAAGCAUUAAUUGCAACAAUGAGUCAUUUUUUCUUGCCUGUGCCUGGCCAUUUCUAGCCUAUAGGAAUGCAGCUACUCCCGUUACUUUUAUAAUUAUUAUAAAUAUAGAGCCAGCAACACACACUACAUUUUGUAGGCAUUAAAAAAGACAUGGAAUUUGGCCCGAAGCAUUAACAAUCUGGUGCACAUUCAUGGGAGUGAUGAAUGCAUUUCACUGACAGUCAGAAAAUGCAUUUCCUGAAUCAUUUUAAUUCAGGGAACGGUAUGAAGAUGUACGGUAAAGCACAGGUUUUAAGAAUCCAGCAUCUGCAGUUCCUCUGGUCAACAAGUCUUGGCUGCUCACAGCUUGCUGGGACUUAUUUCCACAAUGCAUGGCAUCUCCAGAUCACACUGUCUCUGGAAAAUCAUCCAAGAUGGCUCUCAAGUACGUAUCGCUGGGGUAAGAAGUGCUCCAUCCUCUGUAUCUCAGGCUUGGGUUUAUCCCGAGUGAGCUCUACUCACAGCCUUGCUGUUGGGAUGAAAAGAAGGGAGGCAAACCUUUGGAGCAUGGUGUGUGCCGGAGACUCCCAGCACAGCCGGAGCUGUUGGCAGACACUGGGAAUUUGGAGCCAUCCAGCUUGGUGCUGGGUGAGACAGUGCCUUCCCCUGGCACAGGAUAACGCAGGGAUGGAAACCAAUGUGCUGCACAAGGGGUAGGAAAAACUGCUGACUGUGUCAUGCUGAGAGAUUAGAUUAUAAAUGUAUUAAAUGACUAACGUGCAUUAUACAUCCUUCCCAGGCCAAACCACCUGCAUACACAAUGUGUGGUUGUGAUGUGGGGUUGACAGGUUCAGGCAAAUGGUUCAGGACUAAUUUUCAGUGUCAGAUUGGCAGAACGCGCUCCAGACAGAGGGAGAGAUGAAGCCAAAGCUGUGAAAACACUGCUUUUUAGGGAGAAAACAAAGCUAAAAUCUGAACAGCCACAAAAACACAAAACUACAGUAAAUAUGUCUUUUCCUUGCCAGAGCAGGGGCUGGGGAGAUAAAGAAGUGGCUGAAGGAGAACUGAAGGUGAGCACCCGUUAUUUACUGCUGCUGAUGAAGGAGUAAACCCCCACGUUGUGUUUUCCUUCAGGACAACAAGAGCAGCCUGGCUAGCUGUUAUGUUCCCCUCCUGGGGUGCGUUUUACAUGCUGCUUCAGUGCAGUGCCGUACUGCUAUUAAUUGUUCACAAGCACACAAAGCACACGGUGUUCUCCUGCACCACCACUGCACUCCCAGCCGAUCAGACAGAGAAGUCGCCAACCAAGACAGAGGUCUGGAGAAUACUGUAAAAAAAAUAUCUAAAAGGGUUUGUCAUUUUUAAAAAAAAUAUAAUAUACUCCCCUCUGCCUGCUUAAAAGCAUAGGCUUGUUUGAACUUCCUAGGGAAGUCGGGAGCACUAAAGAGGAAUUGGCAGGCUCCAAUCUGGCUGCUUUUCCUUAUUAUGAGAAAAUACACUCUUGUCUCCUUGUCUAAGGGUAAGAAUUCCUCAUCUCAUAUUGUGUUUGCACAGAAGCGUGAAAUGUAUCCUGAACACUGGUCCUCAUCCACACUUCACAACGUGAGAACAACGAGGGCAGUGAGAAUGGGAGCACCACAAAAGUGGGGGAGCUGUGUCUGCUCCGAGGCUGCAGCUCUCGUGCUGCAUUCACCACACCCACGGCAUUUAAGGGGAAGCAGUGGCAUGAUUCUCCCCCAGGAUGCUGAGGGGCCCCGUUUUGUGAGCUGUUGCCCCUGUGGGAAGCUCCCUUCUCCUCUUCCAUAAAUGUUCCCCCUGCUGCCACUGAAUCACCAAAUAAUCUGGAGACCCGUGGGAAGGGAAUUAAAUGGUGGUUAUCACACCGCCACGUUCUGCUCAUUUUAUUUGUUUUAAAUGACCAUGAAAGCAAAGUGGGGAGAAAGAAAACACCCAAGUGGAAAGUUAAUUGAGCUACUGAAAUGUCUUUAAAGGAGCACUGUGAUGCCUCGGCUCCCGCUGGUGGCAUUUGCUCACAUGAGUUGGCACCUGAUGAUGCAGUACGGCUGGGACCCUCUCUCUACACAGCUCUUUCUGCAGGCUUGGAGCUGAGGACAACCUUCCCGUAAAGGUGGGAGAAGUGGAAAAAGACCUAAAUAUGGGGAGCAGACCCAAGCAGAGAUGAGGGAGGAACUGCCCUGACCAACUAGCUGGAGGUAGGAGCACAGAAAAUCAAGAUGUAGAAGGGCCAGUACCAUGGUUUAGUGCACAGCAAGCCACCCAUACCUGCAGGAGAAGCCAGGGCGGGCCCGUGUGGGAAGAGUGGGCUCAGGGGAUGUGCCAUGGGAGCCCAGGAUCUGACAGGGAACCUGUCGGACCUGCUGGAUCAGCUGCACAUGGGCUAAUCUCCGAACAGAACAGAACUUGCCUCUGGCUUGUUACACCUGACAGCAUCGCUUCCAGAGCUCUCAAGACCAGAAACACCAGCAUGGGCGAGGCGGGGACGCACACCCUACAUCAGCCUGGAUAAUUAAAAGGGCAGCCAGGGAUUGGAGGAUGCUGGAGACCUUCCCUUAGCACCUCCUGCACCACUGGGCCUCACUAGAUCAGCACUUUCUGGAAUCUGCUGUAUUGCCAGAUGAUGAUUGGGCGUCUGACAGGAGAUGAAUAAAGUCAAUAAAGUUCUUCUUUCUGGUUAUAAAAAAAAAAAUAAUGAAAAGCAGAGAGAGAUAGGCGAAGGGCUGCCUACAGCUUUCCCAUGUUGCAGUGAACUGAAUGGAGAGAGAGCUACCUUCAGUUGCCUUUUCAUUUUCUCCUGUCUUCAUGCCAAGAGCAAUCAGCAUUUAACUGAGAUCAAGCAUUUGGAAGAUACCAUGCUUAUUCAGAAAUAUUCC